rnacentral:tRNA from 1 species
UAUAUGUUGGUGUAAGGCACAUAAAGUUUUGAUCUUUAAAGUUAUAGUGAGAAUCUAUUAUAUAUAA